rnacentral:tRNA from 1 species
GUAGCAUAAUCUGGUCUUGCCAAAGAUCUAAGCCCUUUCAAUAGAAGUUCAAAUCUUCUCAUUAGCU